UACAACCCUGGGCAUUAAGGAGGGGUGU
rnacentral:piRNA from 1 species